UAUGCACCAGUUACUAAUUCCUCCCUUGUUUUUGUUCUUCCUUCAGAACGUGGAGCCUCCUUACGAAGUGGUCUUUCAAGAAAAUGCUCAGUUCAGGAGUGCACCACCUCACAUCAGAGUUGAAAAGAUGUUCGAGCAGAUACAGUCUAAGCUCCCGGGGAAGCCUAAGUUCCUUCUUUGCAUCCUCGCAGAAAGGAAGAACUCUAACGUUUAUGGUAAAAGCAUUCUACCAUUAAAUAAGAGAGACUAGUGGCAUCGUAUCUUGAUUCUCACAUAAUCGUCUGUGUUUUUUUCAGGUCCUUGGAAGAAGAAGAACCUUGCUGAGCUUGGAAUCGUGACUCAGUGCAUUGCUCCCACCGCCAGAAUCAAUGAUCAGUACCUCACCAACGUUCUCCUGAAGAUCAACGCCAAGGUGAUCUCCUAAAGCUUGAAAUUUCAAUCAGUUAUAAUUUAAGAUAAAGAUUAUAAAGACCUUAAAGCUUGAACUGACUUCACUGUUUCCUAUAUGUAGCUCGGUGGUCUAAACUCACUGCUAACUAUGGAGCGCUCACAGGCAAUGCCGUCAGUUACGCAAGUUCCUACAAUCAUUGUCGGCAUGGAUGUUUCCCAUGGUUCCCCUGGCCAGUCUGAUGUGCCAUCUGUUGCUGCGGUAAAAUUACAUUUUGUUUUCUGUUGAUUGUGAGUUCACUCUUCUAUCUCUCUAGUAACUUGAUGUUUGUUUGUUUGGAAACAAUAGGUGGUGAGCUCCAGGCAAUGGCCACUCAUCUCAAAGUACAGGGCAUGUGUGCGCACACAGUCUCGUAAAGUGGAAAUGAUCGACAACCUUUUCAAGCUUGUCCCUGGCAAAGAAGAGAAGAUGGUUGACGAGGGAAUUUUCAGGUCAGUUUCUUGGAUUGUUGUGCUGUCUUAGUAGUAGCUCGUGACAUGGCAUCAAUGUAACUACGGAUUUUGUGCUCUUUUCAGGGAGCUCUUGGUCGACUUUUACUCCAGCUCCCAGAAGAGGAAACCAGACCACAUCAUCAUUUUCAGGGAUGGUGUGAGUGAGUCCCAGUUCAACCAGGUUCUGAACAUCGAGUUGGAUCAGAUGAUGCAGGUAUGGAUGAUGAUUCUUGAGCCUCAUUGACCUUAGUAUACAGUUGAAUAUUUAUGGACCUGUUUUUCUUGUGGGUUAUGCUAAUAGGCAUGCAAGUUUCUCGAUGAAAAAUGGAACCCCAAGUUUACAGUGAUCAUUGCUCAGAAGAACCACCACACCAAGUUCUUCCAGGAUAAAGGACCAGACAAUGUUCCUCCAGGUAUAAUCCAUUUGACCUGAGCAUGAUUGAUCUUAUGCAUGAUUGAUCUUAUCUUGUAAAUGAGUUCUGAAACCUGUUUCUAACUGACCUGCAGGGACUAUCAUUGACAGCAAGAUCUGUCACCCUCGGAACAACGACUUCUACCUCUGCGCUCAUGCGGGGAUGAUUGUAAGUAACAUGCCUCAUCGGUUGGUUUUUCCUUUGUAUUGAUGAAUUGAACGAAAGCUUGAUACUGGUCUGUUGAUUUCGAAUGUAUUAGGGAACUACAAGGCCAACACACUACCAUGUGCUGUACGAUGAGAUCAACUUUACCACAGAUGACCUCCAGGAACUUGUGCAUUCGCUGUCAUAUGUGUAAGCAUUAUAUCACUUUUCUAGCUCUCUAUCUGAAACAUUUGUUUGUGGUGUGUUGCCGAUGUAUACUAAACUUGUGUGGUUUGAUACUUGUAGCUACCAGAGGAGCACCACUGCCAUCUCAGUCGGUAAGCUCUCAUAUCUUUUUCUCGAUUGCUGCUGAUAGUUUAGAUCUCUGGCAUGUAAUGUCUUUGGCCUCCAUUGAUUGCUGCUGAUAGUUAAGAUCUUUGGCAUGUAAUUGCUGUGUCUCUGCUCAUCUAUAGUUGUUUUUUGAACUUUAUGAUGUCUAGUAUUAGUGAGAAUGAACCACAACUAAUUUUACUGCGUUCUUACCUGCAAUAAUCUGAAUGCAUGAUGGUUGCGCAAGUAUCUCAAGUUUCCUUGUGUCUUUUCUGCAGUUGCACCGAUUUGUUAUGCUCACUUGGCGGCUGCACAGAUGGGAACUGUGAUGAAGUUUGAGGACUUGUCUUUGUCUGAGACAUCAUCGAGCCAUGGCGGGAUCACGACUCCUGGGGCAGUGUUGAUUACUAUAUUUAACUCAGUCAUAUGCACCAGUUACUAAUUCCUCCCUUGUUUUUGUUCUUCCUUCAGAACGUGGAGCCUCCUUACGAAGUGGUCUUUCAAGAAAAUGCUCAGUUCAGGAGUGCACCACCUCACAUCAGAGUUGAAAAGAUGUUCGAGCAGAUACAGUCUAAGCUCCCGGGGAAGCCUAAGUUCCUUCUUUGCAUCCUCGCAGAAAGGAAGAACUCUAACGUUU
rnacentral:lncRNA from 1 species